GCGGGAUUAGUUGAGCGGCUCAACGUCAGCUUUCCAAGCUGAAAAGACGGGUUC
rnacentral:tRNA from 1 species